rnacentral:snoRNA from 1 species
AACCAAUGGUGAGGGCACCUUCUCAAUAUAUUAUUGUAUCUCUCCCAUGCAUCGCAAAGUGUUUUUAAAUCCAUCUACACAAAAGAGGAGAUAUCAUUACGUAAUUU